CAUUCGGCGUGAAGCGUUGGUGGCUGCGGGAAUCUCAGACACCUUAAACGCUCAUGGAGGCUAUGUCAGACCUGCUUCGGCGGGCAAUGGUCUGCGAAGUGAGAAUCACGCGACUUUAGUCGUGUGAGGUUCAAGAGUCCCUUGGCGCCC
rnacentral:misc_RNA from 1 species